GUUCUACAAUCGAAUCUCAGCUUGGUAAGACUACCCGCUGAAUUUAAG
rnacentral:rRNA from 1 species